AAGUCGUAACAAGGUCUCCGUAGGUGAACCUGCGGAGGGAUCAUUAACACAUUUCCAAAAAUCUCUUCAUUACCCUUGGCAACAAGGGUAUAUGAAACCCUAUUCACUUAGCGAACCCCAAGGGCUGGGAAGGAUCUGCGUCACUCUUUAUUGAGUUUCGCACCCUUCUCACUGACCCUUUAUUUCCUUUUUCCAAUAUUUUUUUAAACCCUAACAAACAACAUGCUUUUUUUCACAAACGUCUGACUGAGACUUCCUCACCGAAGUCUCGUUGUUCUAUAGACCGAAAGGUCUGCAGAGCAAUGAAAACUGGUAUCAUAUCAAUAACAAAAAAAAACAACUCUUAGCAACGGAUAUCUUGGUUCUC
rnacentral:misc_RNA from 1 species